AUUUAAUGCCAUUGCUUAGUACGGCGAGUGAAGCGGCAAAAGCUCAAAUUUGAAAUCUGGCACCUUCGGUGUCCGAGUUGUAAUUUGAAGAAGGUAACUUUGGAGUUGGCUCUUGUCUAUGUUCCUUGGAACAGGACGUCACAGAGGGUGAGAAUCCCGUGCGAUGAGAUGCCCAAUUCUAUGUAAAGUGCUUUCGAAGAGUCGAGUUGUUUGGGAAUGCAGCUCUAAGUGGGUGGUAAAUUCCAUCUAAAGCUAAAUAUUGGCGAGAGACCGAUAGCGAACAAGUACAGUGAUGGAAAGAUGAAAAGAACUUUGAAAAGAGAGUGAAAAAGUACGUGAAAUUGUUGAAAGGGAAGGGCUUGAGAUCAGACUUGGUAUUUUGCGAUCCUUUCCUUCUUGGUUGGGUUCCUCGCAGCUUACUGGGCCAGCAUCGGUUUGGAUGGUAGGAUAAUGACUAAGGAAUGUGGCUCUACUUCGGUGGAGUGUUAUAGCCUUGGUUGAUACUGCCUGUCUAGACCGAGGACUGCGUCUUUUGACUAGGAUGUUGGCAUAAUGAUCUUAAGCCACCCUCUAAAAAAAGGGGAAAAAAAAAACCAUAAAAAUUAAAAAAUUAAA
rnacentral:rRNA from 1 species